rnacentral:rRNA from 1 species
CCCUUAGAUGUUCUGGGCCGCACGCGCGCUACACUGACGGAGGCAGCGAGCGUGUCCUUCGCCGGCAGGUGCGGGCAAUCUUGCGAGUCUCCGUCGUGCUGGGGAUAGAUGGUUGCAAUUGUCGAUCUUGAACGAGGAAUUCCUAGUAAGCGCGAGUCAUCAGCUCGCGCUGAUUACGUCCCUACCCUUUGUACACACCGCCCGUCGCUACUACAGAGUGCCCGUGUCCAAGAAACGGUCGGACCUGUGCGGCCUCUCCGGGCGACCGGAGGGCCGUUACGGGGAAGACCCUUUAUUUGACGCGGGUCGAUGAAGUAAAAGUCGUAACA